rnacentral:rRNA from 1 species
GAUCAUGGCUACAGAACGAACGCUGGCGGCAUGCCUAACACAUGCAAGUCGAACGAAGGCUUCGGCCUUAGUGGCGCACGGGUGCGUAACGCGUGGGAACCUGCCCCUCGGUUCGGAAUAACAGUUAGAAAUGACUGCUAAUACCGGAUGAUGACUUCGGUCCAAAGAUUUAUCGCCGAGGGAUGGGCCCGCGUAGGAUUAGCUAGUUGGUGGGGUAAAGGCCUACCAAGGCGACGAUCCUUAGCUGGUCUGAGAGGAUGAUCAGCCACACUGGGACUGAGACACGGCCCAGACUCCUACGGGAGGCAGCAGUGGGGAAUAUUGGACAAUGGGCGAAAGCCUGAUCCAGCAAUGCCGCGUGAGUGAUGAAGGCCUUAGGGUUGUAAAGCUCUUUUACCAGGGAUGAUAAUGACAGUACCUGGAGAAUAAGCUCCGGCUAACUCCGUG